AAGUGAACAUCUAAGAAGAUAAAUACAAUGACAUUUUUGUCAUAUAGUGGCAUAGACGUCGACUUUUGAAAUUCUAGGACAGAAUUCAUCUUCAUGAACUGCAUAUAUGCGAGUGUUGACAUCCCAAAGCCAAGCCAAAGCAUUGCUUAUAAAUAACUGGUUUUCUGUUCCAACUUCUUGGCCCUUACAUAUUUGAUCAUAUUGAGCUUCUAAAAUGUGCAGAGGUGUAGAAGAAGAGGUCAUUUCAGUUAAAGCCUCAAAAGGGUUUGUUUGUUGCGAGCUUUGCAGUUCAAGAGCUUCAUUAUAUUGCCUAGCAGAUGAUGCAUAUUUGUGUAGGAAAUGCGACCAAUCUGUUCACGGGGCUAAUUGUUUAGCUCUCCGGCAUGUUAGAUGCUUGCUCUGCAAGACAUGUCAGAAUCUUACACAGAGAUAUGUGAUCGGGAUUUCGGUCGAGCUUCUGCUGAGAGGAACAAGGCCACCACAUCCACCAACUGGAACUCAUGUGAGAUAACUUGAAGAUCAGUCAGUGUAUGCAAUAGAUUGAUGUAGGUGUAAAGCAGUCGAAAGGAAAAGGUACAUAAGCUUGAAUUCUCUUGACCACUUACGUAGGAACAACAUUUGAGUAUUUGUAAAUAAAUUAUCGGAAGUUCUACGUAGCAAUUGUGCUAGUAUUGGCAACGUACGUUAAGAGAUUGCACGAUGUUAUUGAAAAUUGAAAUUGUAGGGACAACAUUAAGGACUAGCCCAAAUGCCGGGGACCAAACAGGCAAUUUGGCCUAAAAUUUGAAGAAAGGUCUCUCUGUUUUUUUGUUUUUCCUCGUAAUAAACAAAUUGAUCGAAGAGUAA